rnacentral:rRNA from 1 species
GGAUUAAUUUACUGGUCGUGCUAUUGUACGUACUGGUUUUAUUGAUUCCUCCCUUCUGACGAACUAUGAUGUCAUUAAUUUGGUGUCAUAGGAAAUCAGGACUGUUACUUUGAAAAAAUUAGAGUGUUCAAAGCAGGCGUAAUCUAGCCUUUGAAUAUAUUAGCAUGGGAUAAUGAAAUA